UACGUAGGGCGCAAGCGUUAUCCGGAAUUAUUGGGCGUAAAGAGCUCGUAGGCGGUUUGUCGCGUCUGCCGUGAAAGUCCGGGGCUCAACUCCGGAUCUGCGGUGGGUACGGGCAGACUAGAGUGAUGUAGGGAGACUGGAAUUCCUGGUGUAGCGGUGAAAUGCGCAGAUAUCAGGAGGAACACCCGGUGGCGAAGGCGGGUCUCUGGGCCGAUACUGACGCUGAGGAGCGAAAGCGUGGGGAGCGAACAGG
rnacentral:rRNA from 1 species